rnacentral:lncRNA from 1 species
CUGGCAACCACAGUUGAGCCUACUCCAGAUGUACCUCAACUCGCACCUCUAAAAUUAAGACGUAAUAAAUCAAACCUUUUGUUCCUUUAUAAGGUGGUCCAUGGCACUAUACAUUGCCCAAAGCUUCUUGAUCAUGCGUAACGUUCCGUGCCGCAAAAGUAUACCAGGCAGCAUUCAGUG